rnacentral:rRNA from 1 species
UGGGGAAUAUUGCACAAUGGGCGCAAGCCUGAUGCAGCAACGCCGCGUGAGGGACGACGGCCUUCGGGUUGUAAACCUCUUUUGGCAGGGAAGAAGCGAAAGUGACGGUACCUGCAGAAAAAGCACCGGCUAACUACGUGCCAGCAGCCGCGGUGAUACGUAGGGUGCAAGCGUUGUCCGGGAUUAUUGGGCGUAAAGAGCUCGUAGGCGGUUUUUCGCGUCUGCUGUGAAAACCCGGGGCUCAACCUCGGGCCUGCAGUGGGUACGGGCAAACUAGAGUGCGGUAGGGGAGAUUGGAAUUCCUGGUGUAGCGGUGGAAUGCGCAGAUAUCAGGAGGAACACCGAUGGCGAAGGCAGAUCUCUGGGCCGUAACUGACGCUGAGGAGCGAAAGCAUGGGGAGCGAACA